AUUGAACGCUGGCGGCAUGCCUUACACAUGCAAGUCGAACGGCAGCACGGGAGCAAUCCUGGUGGCGAGUGGCGAACGGGUGAGUAAUAUAUCGGAACGUGCCCAGUAGUGGGGGAUACUGCUCGAAAGAGCAGCUAAUACCGCAUACGACCUGAGGGUGAAAGGGGGGGAUCGCAAGACCUCUCGCUAUUGGAGCGGCCGAUAUCAGAUUAGCUAGUUGGGGGGGUAAAGGCCUACCAAGGCAACGACCUGUAGUUGGUCUGAGAGGACGACCAGCCGCACUGGUACUGAGACACGGCCCAGACUCCUACGGGAGGCAGCAGUGGGGAAUUUUGGACAAUGGGCGCAAGCCUGAUCCAGCAAUGCCGCGUGCAGGAAGAAGGCCUUCGGGUUGUAAACUGCUUUUGUCAGGGAAGAAAUCCUCUAGGUUAAUACCCUUGGGGGGAUGACGGUACCUGAAGAAUAAGCACCGGCUAACUACGUGCCAGCCGCCGCAGUAAAAC
rnacentral:rRNA from 1 species